UACAGAGAGUGCAAGCGUUAUUCGGAUUCACUGGGCGUAAAGGGUGCGCAGGCGGUUGGGUGUGUCAGAUGUGAAAUCCCGAGGCUUAACCUCGGAACUGCGUCUGAAACUACUCGACUAGAGUACUGGAGAGGGAAACGGAAUUCACGGUGUAGCAGUGAAAUGCGUAGAUAUCGUAAGGAAGACCAGUGGCGAAGGCGAGUCUCUGGACAGCAACUGACGCUGAGGCACGAAGGCCAGGGGAGCAAACGGG
rnacentral:rRNA from 1 species